rnacentral:tRNA from 1 species
GGCCAGGUAGCUCAGUUGGUAGAGCAGCGGACUGAAAAUCCGCGUGUCGUUGGUUCGAUUCCGACCCUGGCCA